GGGCCCGCACAAGCGGUGGAGCAUGUGGUUCAAUUCGAAGCAACGCGAAGAACCUUACCAGCUUUUGACAUGUCCCGUAUGAGCAACAGAAAUGUAGCUCUUCAGUUCGGCUGGCGGGAACACAGGUGCUGCAUGGCUGUCGUCAGCUCGUGUCGUGAGAUGUUGGGUUAAGUCCCGCAACGAGCGCAACCCUCGCCCUUAGUUGCCAUCAUUCAGUUGGGCACUCUAAGGGGACUGCCGGUGAUAAGCCGCGAGGAAGGUGGGGAUGACGUCAAGUCCUCAUGGCCCUUACAGGCUGGGCUACACACGUGCUACAAUGGCGGUGACAGUGGGAUGCAAUGGAGCAAUCCUGCGCAAAUCUCAAAAAGCCGUCUCAGUUCGGAUUGUGCUCUGCAACUCGAGCACAUGAAGUUGGAAUCGCUAGUAAUCGCAGAUCAGCACGCUGCGGUGAAUACGUUCCCGGGCCUU
rnacentral:rRNA from 1 species